rnacentral:misc_RNA from 1 species
CAAAUCUACGUUUGUGGUUAUCCUAUUUGCUCAUUAUUUAUGGAUCAUGACAUAUAAUGAUAUGGGUAUAUGAUGAGGGUUAAAGUUGGCUGUUGGGACCAUAGGCCUUGAUAAUCAUCUUNNNNNNNNNNNNNUACGAUAGACCAGUCGAAGGUUAGGAUUUGGCUUAUGAUUAUGAAAUUAUGCAAAUAAUUUCUUGAGAAUGUUGCCUUAUUGGUGUUCAAGAUUCAGGGACAAUCCAAUUCUCAGAUAAGAGAAGUGGCUUCAUCUUCAGAAUCAGCCUUGAUUGUUUCCCUCAAAUGUCAUGGUCUUUUUGUUUUGAAAGCUGCACCAUGUCCUUGUGCAUUUUAGGAAGCAUCGCUACUAAUAACCAAGGAGAAGAAC